GGGGGGGGGGGGGGGGGGGGGGGGGGGGGGGGGGGCGGGGGGGGGGGCGGGGGGGUUGCUCCUGGGGGGUGAGCGGCGGAGGGGUGGGUAGCGCGUGGAUAGCCUAGCUGUAAGGCUGGGAUAACUUCGGGAAGCCGGAGCUAAUACCGGAUACUAUAUUGACCCGCAUGGGUCAAGAGUGAAGGACGGUUUUGCUGUGCCUUCUACUUGUAUCCUCGCACCAUUAGUUGGUUGGUACGCUAACGGCUUACCAAGGCAACGAUUCUUCGCCGAUCUGAGAGGGUGAUCGGCCACACUGGAACUGAGACACGGUACAGACUCCUACGGGAGGCCGCAGUAGGGAAUCUUCCGAAAUGGGCGAAAGCCUGACGGAGCAACGCCGCGUGAGUGAUGAAGGUCUUCGGAUCGUAAAACUCUGUUAUUAGGGAAGAACGAAUGUGUAAGUAACUAUGCACGUCUUGACGGUACCUAAUCAGAAAGCCACGGCUAACUACGUG
rnacentral:rRNA from 1 species